GCGCCUUUGUGCAAUGUUACAAAUUGAAGACAUCGUAGUUUUCUAAUGCGUGAAUGGAAAUAAUAUCCGCUUUAGAAUCAGAAAGCCAGUCACCGAGGCUAAUAAUUGGAUGCAAACAAUUUGUUCUGGAACAUUUGGUUUAGCAGAUUUUUUUUAUUUUGAAAACAAAAGGCGGAAUUCCUCAAAAUAAUUACAAAAAUGAGCCAUUUUGAAAUGCAAAUAUCUCAUUAUAUUCUGAAAUAGAAUUCAUGUUCUUGGUGUCAUUCUGUAGGCAAACCCUUUCUUGUUUUUAUGGCUAUUUGUUACAUUUAACAAAAUCGGGAAAGGACGUACUGUUUUGCUCAAAAGUGACUGUCCACAUUAAAAAAUAAAAUGGCCGCGACGUUACAACAAAGAUGCAUGCUUUGGCGAUUAUUUUGCAAAAAGUAAACAAUGAGACUAUUUUCAUCUUUCAACGAUCAGGAAUAAAUUUCAUAAAUUGAUUUAAAAUGGUUCUGUCAUCCAACAUUUCUCGUCUAUUUCUGGAAACCGGAUUCCAAAUUUAGACUGCAUUUUCCGAAAAUCUAUUGUUGCACGGAAAGAAGGUGUUGUAAAAGAAAGACCUUUUACUUGGUACGGAUGCAGUCUGGAUUACGUAAGUUAUGUCUGAAUUCACUAAUUCUCGUAGGGAUCAGUGAGUUUAGGUAGUCAGGGACCAGAGAAUGCUGAAUUUUGUAAAACAAUGUUAAUUUAUGAAUAUGACGUCUAUUUUCAAGCGUUUGCAGAUGGGAGAACAGGAAAAUAUUUAUGAGAAAUUACAACUCAGAAUAUCUGCCAUUGAAAACUACGAAGGAUGGGGUCAGAUGGCAAUUAAAGGAGCAAAAAUCUGUAUGCAAAGAGCACUGUGAUGUGAUUUGUACAGGCCAGGAUGUUCAAGUUUUAUAAGCAUACUGAAGUGUUGUGAGACACACUUUCCACAACAGUGUUAUGGAGAUAAAAUCAAGUAUUCAUUUCUCAAAUACUGAGCAGAUAUAUUGAAUUCAACUAAUACAAUGCCAUUCCAGCUUGAUAAAUUCUGUAAGGCUGUAGAAACGUUGAUGCAUUUGAUUUUGUGUGAUGCAGAAAACGUUAAAAUGUGAACACUGAUUUAAUUUUUGAAGAGCACUGUUGUGAAGAGGUGAUCUGGUAGGAUGUUCUAGUUCCACUAACAUACAGCAGUGUGACAACAUAUUUCUUGAGGAAAAAUUCAGGGAUUGGCAGUGCAGUACACAUUUAUCGUACUUGAUGAAAUGUUACCAGGGAAAAGCCGAAAUUGUGUCAUAUUACCGGUAUGACUAAUAUCAACUGAUUUAGACAUGUUGGAACUCACAGCAACUUGGGUGUCAGAAAUAUUAUUCUUAUUAUUCUGACAUGUUUGAAUGCAUGGAGUAGGAUUUACAAGCGUCUAAAUUUUACCAGACAGGACCUUGUUGGACUCUACAAAAUCACGAUCACGCAUAAGUGACAGCUUUGUAGAGAAUGGAAGAGCAGUGGUGUGGCUAUUAAUACCAGGACGGAUGAGUGUGGGCUUUGAAUAUUCCUUCCCCGUUUUAGAGAGAAGAGCUGCAUAAAUCUGCAUCUAGCUCUGCUACCGGCAUCAUUUCAAACUCUGAGUGACCAAAACCAGCUUUCAUCAUGUAAUCUAAAAAUGGGAAAUACAUAAUUGCUUAGAGUGUACAUAUAUGUCCUUUAAAGAAACUAAAAAAAUCGAAAUCUAGUCACUCACUUGUAUGUAUUGUGAAACAUACUGUCAAAGUGUAAGAAACAAGUCAAAUAUCUUUGCGACAAAGGAAAGAACUAGAAAGAAACAAAUAUGAUUAGGACUAAUUCAGUACAUUCCUUUGAACAUAUAUUAAAAAACGGAAAACCAUAUAUAAAACUGGACAAGGAACAACACAGGAAUAAAUUGUUUUUUUUUUCAAUUGAAUUGACUGGUUAAAUAGUCAUUAUUGAAGUAAACUUCAUCAGGAUAAAUAGAAAAGAAUUCAAAAAUAUUGCUGAUGGGAUAUUAAUAACAAAGAUCACGCUGCUUUAAAUUGAAUAUUUCUGUGAAAUGAUAGAUUAUUUACUGACUUUCACUCGAGAUCGGGAUGUGUAAUAUUUUAAUAAAUAAAAGAAAUCAUGCAAGCUCAAAGGCGUGAGAUUCUUCCCAUAACGUUGAAUCAUAAUGGAACAGAGCGUAUUCAUCGUUGAGUCCGAAAAGAAACAAUAGACAUGCCUUUCAUUGCUCAUCACUAUGAAACAAGCAGCAGCAGCCAAGCCACUGGUACAUCUAUCCGAGAAGAAAAUGUGACACCGUGUAAAACUGUGUCCAGUUUCUUCCUCACAUUUUUCUUUUUUCACGAGCAGAAAGUCAGCUCCGUUUUCGUCAACGUCGUUUAAUUUCAUCUUCAAUUCUUUGAUUUCCUUAUCUUCUGAGCAAGUCAGAAAGUAUCUCUUAAACGCAUGCACAACAUAAUCAAAAGACAAGGCACGAUCAUCACUUGUGAUAAGAAUGAAGCAUUUAGACAUGUCAGUAUUCUCAUCGAUGAACUUUGCAAUCAAUUUAUUUUUGACCUUCUUUUAAAGCAAAUUGUCAUACGAUAAAACACUAACUUCGUCACUGCAUUUGAUAUUAUCCAGUUGAUCAGAUGUGUCCAUCUUUAUGUUCUGAGAUCAAAUGAUCAGUAUAUGCUUGAUUUGGUUGUUUGUUUGUUUUUGGUUUUACGCCGUUUUUCAACAGUAUUUCAGUCAUGUAACUGCGGGCAAUUAACCUAACAAGUGUUCCUGGAUUCUGUAUAAGUAGAAACCUGUCCUCCACAAGUAAUUGCCAACUUCCCCACAUUAAUCAGAGGUGGAAAACUAUUGAUUUCAGACACAAUAUCGUUUAUUACGGAGAGCAUACGUCUAGCCCGAGGAUCGAACUCAAGACCUCUCAUUCCGUAGACAAAUGCUCUACCUACAGAGCUGAGCGGGCGUGCUCGUAUAUUAUUUCCCUGUAUUCCUUAUGUAUAAAUAAGUGUAUUGUGAACAUGUAAAUGGCUAAAAAUGUAAUGGUCACCAGGUUAAAUUUUAUGUUAAGACCGCUUGAAUAUAACACCUGUUCGAACGAAAAUUGGCGCGAAACUGAACACGCUCCUUGGAUGUAUAUCUGCUAGAAGUUAAGAUUUUUUUUAAAAAAACUCUUAAUUCAUUCUAUAAUUGAAUACUGAAUAAUCUGAAAGGAGAUAUUAUCUUAUCAAUAUAAAGUAGAGACCGUACCAUAGCUCUUCGCAUACUUUGAUUUUUCAAACUAAAGUGAUUAUUACAAGUACACCGGUUACGAUAAAAAUGUAAACAACGGACUCUGUCUAUGAAACUUUGAAAUGAAUGGAUGACAGUCGAUCUUAGUCAUAAUACUGAUUGACAGUGAAUGCUAAUGACUCCAUGUGUUGCAGAAAGAACACAAAGAUGGACACAUCUAAGUCGAUUAUAUUGUGCAUUCAUUGAAGGAAUACUCUCUGACUUGCUCAAAAGAGGGAAUCAAAGAAUUGGAGAUGAAAGUAAACGACGUUGACGAAAACGGAGCUGAUUUUCUGCUCGUGAAAGAAGAAAAUUAUGAUGAAGAAACUGGACAAAGUUUUGCACGGUGUCACAUUUUCUUCUCGGAUAGCUGUACCAGUGAUAUGGCUGCUCCUGCUUUUUUCAUAGUGAUGAGCUAUGAAACGCACGACUAUUUCUGUUUCUUUUCGGACUCAACGGUGAAUAAGCUGUGUUCCAUAAUUAUCCAACGUUAUGGAAAGACACUCGCGCCUCUGAGCUUGCAUGAUUUCUGGAAUAAAAAGCUUUGCGUAUUACAAAAAUCCAAAAUACGUGAAAUGAAGCUUGAACGUGACAUAAAGUUUGAGAAUGGGUCAACACUGUGUGCAUAAAAAAAUGAAUGCGAAAAUAAGAGAAUUGUAUUAUGAUGAACGGAGGUACAUCGACCCAUGUUUUGGUGAACACGUCAUCAAAUAAUUGUAUCGAAAUAGUAUAGGAAAACUGAAUAUCAUGCUUUAUCGAUGUGUUUGAUUUUAUUAAAAAAUAAAAAUAGUGAUAACAUACAUAUAGAAUUAUA